rnacentral:misc_RNA from 1 species
UCCGAGUUGACCCCGGCAGUCUCCUAUGAGUCCCCACCAUUACGUGCUGGCAACAUAGAACGAGGGUUGCGCUCGUUGCGGGACUUAACCCAACAUCUCACGACACGAGCUGACGACAACCAUGCACCACCUGUGCACGACCCUUGCGGACCUUCCAUCUCUGAAAGAUUUCCGUGCAUGUCAAACCCAGGUAAGGUUCUUCGCGUUGCAUCGAAUUAAUCCGCAUGCUCCGCCGCUUGUGCGGGCCCCCGUCAAUUCCUUUGAGUUUUAGCCUCGCGGCCGUACUCCCCAGGCGGGGCGCUUAAUGCGUUAGCUACGGCACGGACGGAGUCGACACCGCCCACACCUAGCAUCCAUCGUUUACGGCGUGGACUAC